AGGACGAACGCUGGCGGCGUGCUUAACACAUGCAAGUGGAGCGACGAACCAGGGCUUGCCCUGGGGCAGAGCCGCGAACGGGUGAGUAACACGUGGGUUACCUGCCUUGAUGACCGGGACAACCCGAGGAAACUCGGGCUAAUACCGGAUGUGCCCGCAAGGGGAAAGGAAGCUUCGGCCUCCGCAUCAAGAUGGGCCCGCGGCCCAUUAGCUUGUUGGUGAGGUAACGGCUCACCAAGGCUUCGAUGGGUAGCUGGUCUGAGAGGACGAUCAGCCACACUGGGACUGAGACACGGCCCAGACUCCUACGGGAGGCAGCAGUGGGGAAUCUUGCGCAAUGCGCGAAAGCGUGACGCAGCAACGCCGCGUGGGGGAAGAAGGCUUUCGGGUUGUAAACCCCUUUCAGUUGGGACGAAGCUUCGACGGUGAAUAGCCGGACGGAGUGACGGUACCUUCACAAGAAGCACCGGCUAACUACGCGCCAGCAGCCGCGGU
rnacentral:rRNA from 1 species